GUCGGGGGAGUCUCCGGCCGAGGAGACCCACGCACAGGAGAGCCCCAUAGAGGACCCCCCCCCAGGAGAGGAGCUCCCCGGGUAGGGAACCCCCCCCCCAGAACAGGAGCCCACCGCACACAUACCGGGGCCCCCAUCUAGGAACCCCUCCAGAAGAGGAGACCCCCUCACCCCAUAUAGGGACACCCCACCCGGGACAGCCUGUAUAGGAACACCCUCAAGAAGAGGAGACCCUUACACCUGGAGGGACCGCCAGAUAGGAACCCCCUGGAGAGGUGACCCCACAAAUGGGGGAACCCCAUAUAGGAACACCCACCAGUCUGACCUGAAUGUUUUUGGAGGACUUCUUGAAACUGACAACAAACUGAAAAAAGUCACUUAUUCACCCAGUUCUACUCCAUAUCUGAGUGCAAUCUGAACUCCAACCUAGCUCAGAAGAGCUAAAGAGCUGAUGGACCUCUUCAUCCUUUCCUGAAAGACUUUGAGUUGAAAGGAAACUGGAGAUUGUGCUGAGAAGCUGAGACCAGAAUGAAAAUUCUAAACAAUUUUAAAUGCAUUUAUCCAAAAUGUAUGUAUUGGCUGGAUUAACAAAAGUGAUGAGAGCAGCUCCUGAAUAUGAGAACUCACUGCGACACAACAUCUCCUGUCCUGGCCAGCUCAAAAUUUUUCUUCUUGAGAGCACAGCAGAAGCAGAAGAGGGAAUACUAGCUAUCUCCUACCUGAAGACUUCACAAUUCCAGGCCCUUGAGACCCUGGAGCUGAAAGUGUCAUUUAAGACUCUAAGCCAAAUCUGAAGGCAGGGAGCCAAUGAAAGAGUAACAACAACCAACUUGAACAAGCAUGAAAGAGCUCCUGCUACUCUGCUUAGACAGCAAGAAUUCCACAACUCAUCCUGUCCAUCUCUAUAGGCAUGUUGCCACAAACAGAUAAGGCUCAAGAAGAAGCCAACCUAAGGAAACAUCCCCAAGACUUCAGCAUGGAUUGGGAUGUAAGAACCUGCAAUGCUAAAACCUGGGACCAUGGGGUGUCGGGGCCGCUAACACUUCCACAUCACCACAGGAAGCUUAGGUUUGGCUCUUGCAGGAGGCCGGGUCCAGAAGGAAGUACCACCCACCAGGACCUGAAUGGUAGUUCCUUGCAACCCACUGACUUGCUGGCAUCAGUACUUAAGCCAAGAAGUCAUGACGGAGAGUUGUCUGAGCAACAGUACAGACUGCCUGCCUAUCUUGCUUCAGACCCUGCAUGUGAGAGAUUCUAGACUUUAGCUUCUGACCCUGCUUGCCUACUGACACCUGACUCCUGGUUUGCCCUCCGGUCUAAGACUCUGACCUUCUGGUAUCCAACUUGGCCUGAGUCCUGCUCUGACCACUAGGUCAGACCACCCAUGACCCAGUCAUGACCAGGGCCGGCUCCAGGUUUUCUGCCGCCCCAAGUGAAGAAAAAAAAGAAGAAAAAAGAAAA